UACAGAGACUGCAAGCGUUAUUCGGAAUCAUUGGGCGUAAAGAGCGUGUAGGCGGCCAGAUAAGUCCGCUGUGAAAUCUCGAGGCUCAACUUCGAGCUGUCGGUGGAAACUGUCUGGCUAGAGUCCGGAAGAGGAGAAUGGAAUUCCUGGUGUAGCGGUGAAAUGCGCAGAUAUCAGGAAGAACACCCGUGGCGAAGGCGGUUCUCUGGGACGGUACUGACGCUGAGACGCGAAAGCGUGGGGAGCGAACAGG
rnacentral:rRNA from 1 species